CAGUAGCCGCGGGAAUACGUAGGGUGCGAGCGUUAAUCGGAAUUACUGGGCGUAAAGCGUGCGCAGGCGGUUAUGUAAGACAGGUGUGAAAUCCCCGGGCUUAACCUGGGAACUGCGCUUGUGACUGCACAGCUAGAGUAUGGCAGAGGGGGGUGGAAUUCCACGUGUAGCAGUGAAAUGCGUAGAGAUGUGGAGGAACACCGAUGGCGAAGGCAGCCCCCUGGGCCAAUACUGACGCUCAUGCACGAAAGCGUGGGGAGCAAACAGGAUUAGAUACCCCGUAGUCCCUGUCUCUUAUACA
rnacentral:rRNA from 1 species